GUCCCCGCAACGAGCGCAACCCCCUAUCUUCUGUUACCAGCACGGUGGAUGUGGGGACUCAGGAGAGACUGCGCAGACAAUGCGGAGGAAGGCGGGGAUGACGUCAAGUCAUCAUGCCCCUUAUGGCUUGGGCUACACACGUACUACAAUGGCUCUUAAUAGAGGGAAGCGAAAGGGCGACCUGGAGCAAACCCCAAAAACAGAGUCCCAGUUCGGAUUGCAGGCUGCAACCCGCCUGCA
rnacentral:rRNA from 1 species